AAUCUAAGAGAAACAGAAGAAGACUGUUCAGGUUUUUAUUUCUCAUUGUUUAAUGAGCAUGUUGCUAUUUCAGGCUCAGUCAGCAAACAAGAAAUGUGAGGACACCGAAACACAAGCUUUUACACUCAAAUGUGUUUACUAUCAGCUUGUAGUCUUUUAAAUAAAUAAAUAAAUAAAUAAAUAGAUAGAUAGAUAAAUAAAUAAAUAAAUAAGUUCGUUCCAGGUUUCAAAUUCAUCUGUGUUUAAAUGCUUGUGGAUGCCAUCGCUCAGCUGAGCCUCGCUGUUCAGCCCGGAAAAGAAAGUGGAGAAAUACAAGGUCACUGAGGCUCCCACUAACACACCUGUGAUGAAGGACAGCGCCCCCUUCAGACCUGCCAUCUUCUCAGCUGACAGAAUCAAUGUCUGGUUCUCACAAACUACUAGCACAAGCGCUCCGUGGUGAAGACUCUGGCCCCAACAAGAAAAAUGCAUUCGAUCUAAAGAGAGCCUCGGACACUCACAUCAACCUCAUAAUUAAACUUCCGAGUUCAGAAACCUCAGAACCGAGUUCACUGGAAUACUGAAGCCAUUCGAAGCAACGCAUGAAAACGCAGCACUGAAGAAGUCUCCAACGGUUUCUCACCAGAAAAACUAUAAACACCAUCAAGUACAGAAGCGGCCAGAGGGACGCUGCUGGUGAGGAAACAUAGGCCCUGUUCACACUGCAGAGCCGUAGAAGGAGUUAGGUGUGUGUGCCCUGUGAUGGGUUGGCACUCCGUCCAGGGUGUAUCCUGCCUUGAUGCCCGAUGACGCCUGAGACAGGCACAGGCUCCCCGUGACCCGAGGUAGUUCGGAUAAGAGGUAGAAAUUGAGUGAGAGAGAGAGAGAAGGAGUUAGAUAUUGUGUUCACUGUGGAUUGUUGUCUGAGUCGGGCGUUGCUGAAUGAUGACUGGAUGAGAUGCAGAAUAUUGAUCGUCUUCCCUCCGAUUUAUUCACUGUAACAGAUGAGCACAAUGAGGUCCGGAAACAGAACAAGGAGAAGACGCUCGGAUCCAGACGUGGACUCGUUAUGGCGUAACGUUCCCUCUUUAUUUUCAGAUGGGAUUUUCAGACUGUAGCUUCAUGCACCUUUUUUAACACACACCUUUCUGGCCCUCCUCACCGACAGCAUGAUCAUCAGCAGAUUGAGGUUUCAUUUCAGGAGCUGGAGGCUUCAUGUCCUUAACUGACGACACCUUCCUCCUCUCUGAGCUCAUUUUACCGCCGUCCUCAUCCCAUCUUUGUGUUCAAAACGCAGUUUCAGUGUCUUCAGCAUCUCAUCAGCCUGAAAAAUAAACAGCAGGUUUCAGUUAGACAAAGAUUGUUUUUGUACCAACAGUUCGGUCUCCUAUUAUCCAGUCAAAAUAUCAGAUAAACAGUGAAGAAGAACGGAAGUGAUUACAGUUAAUUCUACACACUUUGUGCUACUGUGUGAAAGUGUAAUGAUGUGAAUCGGUGAACAAAAGCCAUCAGUUCUCUUCUCCACAAAGAUGGACUUAAUUAACACUAAAGUUUCCAUGUGUGUCUUUAGGACCUUUAGUGAAGGACAGUUUUAAUGCUUUUUAAAUAGAGUAUUAAAUUCAACACACAUGGUGUUAUUACUUUGACAUGAGGAUAUCUGGACACUGACACACACUUACAGGUAGGGCUGGGAUGAUUCACUAAUCUGGCGAUUCAAUACUAUCCCGAUACUUUUGUGCCGAUUCAAUACAUAUUGCGAUUCUGUAGCUAUUGCAAUUCAUUGUUUAAAUUGUGAUUUUUGUUUGCUUAAUAAAGAUUAGACAAUGGCAAA